rnacentral:rRNA from 1 species
UACGUAGGGGGCAAGCGUUGUCCGGAUUUAUUGGGCGUAAAGAGCGUGUAGGCGGUUAGGUAGGUCCGUUGUGAAAACUCGAGGCUCAACCUCGAGACGCCGAUGGAAACCCCCUAACUAGAGUCCGGAAGAGGAGAGUGGAAUUCCCGGUGUAGCGGUGAAAUGCGUAGAGAUCGGGAAGAACAUCGGUGGCGAAAGCGCUCUGCUGGACUGCAACUGACACUCAGGGACGAAAGCUAGGGGAGCGAAUGGG